UUUCGGAGAGUUUGAUCCUGGCUCAGGACGAACGCUGGCGGCGUGCCUAAUACAUGCAAGUCGAGCGGAUUGAUGGGAGCUUGCUCCCUGAAGUCAGCGGCGGACGGGUGAGUAACACGUGGGUAACCUGCCUGUAAGACUGGGAUAACUCCGGGAAACCGGGGCUAAUACCGGAUAGUUCUUUUCCUCGCAUGAGGAAAAGUGGAAAGGCGGCUUCGGCUGCCACUUACAGAUGGACCCGCGGCGCAUUAGCUAGUUGGUGAGGUAACGGCUCACCAAGGCAACGAUGCGUAGCCGACCUGAGAGGGUGAUCGGCCACACUGGGACUGAGACACGGCCCAGACUCCUA
rnacentral:rRNA from 1 species